GAUGAACGCUAGCGGCAGGCCUAACACAUGCAAGUCGAGGGGUAACAUUGUAGCUUGCUACAGAUGACGACCGGCGCACGGGUGCGGAACGCGUAUCGAACCUGCCCCUGUCAGGGGAAUAGCCCAUGGAAACGUGGAUUAAUGCCCCAUGGCACCAUGAUGUGGCAUCAUAUUAUGGUUAAAGGUUACGGACAGGGAUGGCGAUGCGUGCCAUUAGCUUGUUGGUAAGGUAACGGCUUACCAAGGCAACGAUGGCUAGGGGCCCUGAGAGGGGGAUCCCCCACACUGGUACUGAGACACGGACCAGACUCCUACGGGAGGCAGCAGUGAGGAAUAUUGGUCAAUGGGCGGAAGCCUGAACCAGCCAUGCCGCGUGCAGGAUGACUGCCCUAUGGGUUGUAAACUGCUUUUAUACGGGAAGAAACGCAGGUACGUGUACCUGUCUGACGGUACCGUAAGAAUAAGGACCGGCUAACUCCGUG
rnacentral:rRNA from 1 species